UCCUAUAAAGAAAAAUGUCCUUAUUUUCACCACCAGUUACUCACUGAAGCUAAGCAGGGCUGAGCCUGGUCAGUAUCUGGAUGGGAGACCACAUAGGAAAUCUAGGUUGCUGUUGGAA
ensembl:rRNA 5S_rRNA 5S ribosomal RNA